CAUAUCUGGUCAAGUUGAGAUUUUUAAGAA
rnacentral:piRNA from 1 species